UGUCUCGUAGCUCAGUUGGUUAGAGUGUUGGUUGUACAUAAACCUUCUCCUUACUGACGUGGGUUCGAAUCCCACUGAGGUCA
rnacentral:tRNA from 1 species